rnacentral:rRNA from 1 species
UUGAACGCUGGCGGCAGGCCUAACACAUGCAAGUCGAGCGCGAAAGGUUUUCGGACUGAGUAAAGCGGCGGACGGGUGAGUAACGCGUGGGAAUCUGCCCAGUAGUGGGGGACAACAGUCGGAAACGACUGCUAAUACCGCAUACGCCCUGCGGGGGAAAGGGGGGGAUCUUCGGACCUCUCGCUAUUGGAUGAGCCCGCGUCGGAUUAGCUAGUUGGUAGGGUAAAGGGCUACCAAGGCUACGAUCCGUAACUGGUCUGAGAGGAUGAUCAGUCACACUGGAACUGAGACACGGUCCAGACUCCUACGGGAGGCAGCAGUGGGGAAUAUUGGACAAUGGGGGCAACCCUGAUCCAGCCAUGCCGCGUGUGUGAAGAAGGCCUUAGGGUUGUAAAGCACUUUCAGUGGGGAGAAAGGUUUGUCACCUAAUACGUGAUGAAAUUGAUGUUACCCACAGAAGGAGCACCGGCUAACUCCGUGCCAGCCGCCGCUGUAA